rnacentral:lncRNA from 1 species
GAUAGUACUAACUAACUUGGACCUCCCUGUUGGAUAGUACUAACUAACUUGGACCUCCCUGUUGGAUAGUACUAACUAACUUGGACCUCCCUGUUGUAUAGUACUAACUAACUUGGACCUCCCUGUUGUAUAGUACUAACUAACUUGGACCUCCCUGUUGUAUAGUACUAACUGACUUGGACCUCCCUGUUGUAUAGUACUAACUAACUUGGACCUCCCUGUUGUAUAGUACUAACUAACUUGGACCUCCCUGUUGUAUAGUACUAACUUGGUUGGACCUCCCUGUUGGAUAGUACUAACUUGGUUGGACCUCCCUGUUGGAUAGUACUAACUUGGUUGGACCUCCCUGUUGUAUAGUACUAACUAACUUGGACCUCCCUGUUGUAUAGUACUAACUAACUUGGACCUCCCUGUUGUAUAGUACUAACUAACUUGGACCUCCCUGUUGUAUAGUACUGACUUGGACCUCCCUGUUGUAUAGUACUAACUAACUUGGACCUCCCUGUUGUAUAGUACUAACUAACUUGGACCUCCCUGUUGUAUAGUACUAACUGACUUGGACCUCCCUGUUGUAUAGUACUAACUAACUUGGACCUCCCUGUUGUAUAGUACUAACUAACUUGGACCUCCCUGUUGUAUAGUACUAACUGACUUGGACCUCCCUGUUGUAUAGUACUAACUGACUUGGACCUCCCUGUUGUAUAGUACUAACUGACUUGGACCUCCCUGUUGUAUAGUACUAACUAACUUGGACCUCCCUGUUGUAUAGUACUAACUUGGACCUCGUUAUGAAUCAGCUUGUGUUGUUGUUUUAGUCUGAAACACUUCUCUUGUUACGGAAUACUAACGUUCCUCCUCUCCACAUAGUUAUACCCUUUUCACACUAUAAUAGCGACCAAAAAUGUGCUGUACUAGCUCAGAUAUGUUUUAUUUGAUGGUUUAUUUGGGUAGGGACCGAUACAAACACGGUUCCAGCAUCUAUGGUUAAUGAGUAACCAGAUCAGCUUGGUUUGUUCAGCAGUGUGAAAAGGUAUUGGAAACAUUUGUCAAGCAGAUUGUCAUACUGUGGUAAAUAAUACUGUUAUUUUGUGUAGACUACGCUACUCAUCAGAAGUAUAUGUUUGUGACAUGAAACAGUGUUACCGUGACUCUAUAUUCCUUGGAAUUAUGCUUUAUGUCAAGUAUAAAGGAAAACGGACAUUCCCAGCUUUGAAGGGUAAACCUUCAUGCCUCCUCAACGAUAAGCUAUUAUUCGUCAUUGUAUCAGUUAAUUUCAAUGUAUGUGUUGUUAGCUAAUGUUUUUAUUUAUUCAAUUGUUUAUUUUUGCACUUGUUACUUGAUGAUUCCCUGUGAAGUGAAUAUCCAUUCCAAUGCUGAACAAAAAUAAUUAUUACUGCAAGUGUUUUAAUUUAUUUUGAGAUGUAUACAUGUAUAUGUUGUGGACCAUAUGAUCUAUUAUCUGUGCAGUAAAGAUAUGUUAUACGUGUAUAUGUUAUGGACCAUAUGAUCUAUUAUCUGUGCAGUAAAGAUAUGUUAUACAUGUAUAUGUUAUGGACCAUAUGAUCUAUUAUCUGUGCAGUAAAGAGAUGUUAUACAUAUAUAUGUUGUGGACCAUAUGAUCUAUUAUCUGUGCAGUGAAGAGAUGUUAUAUAGGAGUGUUCGCUCAGUCAAUCAGGACAGAUUCAAUACAAAAUAUUAUUGAAUCAUUUGAAUGAUACAAUGUACAUGUUUCAACAUUGAAUCAAU